UGUACUCCAUUAAUUGAGAGGAGAAAAUAACAGUGACAUGCAUGUACUUAAAAGCAGGAUCAGUGGCGGUGACACUUUUCCUUCAAGAUGUAGAUGUCUCCAUUGUUGUCAGUAGUUGCAUAACUUUUCUUUUUGUAAAUGUGAUCACUUCAACAACAACAACCCCCAACUUUAAUUUGAUAAUAAGAAAAAGGAAAAGAAAUUUGUUAACCUCCCAAAUUCGAGUAUCACACCAAGAUAGAGAAAUAGAAAAAUAAAAAAUAUGAUGAAUAAUGUAAUAAAAAAAAUAUAAGAAAAAAACUUGAUGAAAAUGAAGAAUUUAGAUUAUUUGCGGCAUUUAAUUUGGAGUCUCUGCAAUCAAUAAAUCACCAUAAGCCAUUGAUUAUAUAUAAUUGUGUGCACUGCAUGAGGGAGUAAUAGAGAACCUUUGGUUCCAAAUUCGAAAAUGAGAUAAAAGAGAAAAAUGUUAAAUGCUCAUGAAUAAGGUAAAACACCCUUGUUGAGGCCCAUGUCUCUUGCCAUGCUUUAUUUUAAUUUGGUCGUCCUCGUUAUUUUCAGUGCUUCCUUUUCCACAUAGAGAGAGCCUGCUGUAAAAGUCUCAGGUCUAAGCAAUCUCUAGUGUCAUAAAGCUACAGCCUCAGAAGAAGACAACAUCCCUCCAUCCAUCCACCACUCUUUUUUCUGAUUAUUGUAUUCUCAUAGUGACCUGUCUUUCAUGUUCUUUUCUUUAUUUUAACUUUCUUUCUAGCUAUAGUGUCCUUAUUGUCUGUCCCCUAUUUGAUUUAUUGUCUAGUGGUGUACUGAUUGGAAACUUGAGUGCUUGCAGGCCUUUGUUUGUUCUUGAACCUUGAAAAAGAGAAAGAUAGAGAACAUGGAGCCUAGCUUGGAGAACAAAGAAAGAGUAGUGUCACUCAUAAAGCUAUAUAUAAAUGGUUGGAAGCAAAGUUCUAUAUCAUCAACUUUCCCUAAAUUCGCCUUCUUCUAUAUGUUCCUAUUCUUUAUUUACCUUGUGAGACACAGGCUUGUAAUUGAAGACGGAAAGGGUGGUGUUUGGAAUGUGGUUUGAUCCGAAAUCAUUGUCUCUGCCCCAUUUUUAACUUUGCUUGUUUUCAAAGAGAGUGAAAGAGAGAUCAUAUAGGAAAAAGGGUGUUUGGAAUUAAUGAGGUUUGAUCCAAGAUCAUAACAUCAUCUCUUCCUUUUUCCUUGAUUUCUGAUUUAUUUUCAUAUACCUAUCUCAUCACUUCAUGCAUGGGAUAUUGAGACUGAUCUCGGACCAGGCUUCAUUCCUCACACCUACCUUUCCCUUGUAUAGAAGCAAUCAGAUAUCAAGAAGCCAAAGGUCAAAACUUGUCCUUUAAGUGCGUGGCAAAAGCUACACACCACGUGACAAAGAACUGUUGUAUCACAAAGUUAUGGCGUGAAGCAAGCUAUGGAUCUGGAAUUAAGUUUUAUUUGAUGUACACGUUAUUCAUGAAUAGCUUCUUAUACUCUUCCUCCUGCUUCUACUUUUAUUCUUGCUUUGCCUUUUCUCUAGCUAGCUUCUUUUCUUUCUGUGCAAAUUAUGGAAGCAUAAAUAUUUGUUUGGUUCUUU